AUUGAACGCUGGCGGCAGGCCUAACACAUGCCAGUCGAACGGUAACAGGAAACAGCUUGCUGUUUCGCUGACGAGUGGCGGACGGGUGAGUAAUGUCUGGGAAACUGCCUGAUGGAGGGGGAUAACUACUGGAAACGGUAGCUAAUACCGCAUAACGUCGCAAGACCAAAGAGGGGGACCUUCGGGCCUCUUGCCAUCAGAUGUGCCCAGAUGGGAUUAGCUAGUAGGUGGGGUAACGGCUCACCUAGGCGACGAUCCCUAGCUGGUCUGAGAGGAUGACCAGCCACACUGGAACUGAGACACGGUCCAGACUCCUACGGGAGGCAGCAGUGGGGAAUAUUGCACAAUGGGCGCAAGCCUGAUGCAGCCAUGCCGCGUGUAUGAAGAAGGCCUUCGGGUUGUAAAGUACUUUCAGCGGGGAGGAAGGGAGUAAAGUUAAUACCUUUGCUCAUUGACGUUACCCGCAGAAGAAGCACCGGCUAGCUCCGUG
rnacentral:rRNA from 1 species